AUUGAACGCUGGCGGCAUGCUUUACACAUGCAAGUCGAACGGCAGCACGAAAGAGCUUGCUCUUUUGGUGGCGAGUGGCGAACGGGUGAGUAAUGCAUUGGAACGUACCGAGUAAUGGGGGAUAACUGUCCGAAAGGAUGGCUAAUACCGCAUACGCUCUGAGGAGGAAAGCGGGGGACCUACAGGCCUCGCGUUAUUCGAGCGGCCAAUGUCUGAUUAGCUAGUUGGUGGGGUAAGAGCCUACCAAGGCGACGAUCAGUAGCGGGUCUGAGAGGAUGAUCCGCCACACUGGGACUGAGACACGGCCCAGACUCCUACGGGAGGCAGCAGUGGGGAAUUUUGGACAAUGGGCGCAAGCCUGAUCCAGCCAUGCCGCGUGUAUGAAGAAGGCCUUCGGGUUGUAAAGUACUUUUGUCAGGGAAGAAAGAGCUUGGGUUAAUAGCCCAAGUUUAUGACGGUACCUGAAGAAUAAGCACCGGCUAACUACGUGCCAGCAGCCGCGGUAAUAC
rnacentral:rRNA from 1 species